rnacentral:rRNA from 1 species
GCGAUACCGCGAAUGGCUCAAUAUAUCAGUUGUGGUUCCUUAGAUCUUACUCAGUUACUUGGAUAACUGUGGCAAUUCUAGAGCUAAUACAUGCAAUCAGAGCUCCGACCGGAGACGGGAGGAGCGCUUUUAUUAGAUCAAAACCAAUCGACGGAGGCGGCUCGCCGCCGACGUCGUUGUAUAAUGAUGAAUCUGGAUAACUUAUGCCGAUCGCACGGUCACGCACCGGCGACGCAUCUUUCAAAUGUCUGCCCUAUCAACUUUCGAUGGUAGUCUAUGCGACUACCAUGGUUGUAACGGGUAACGGGGAAUCAGGGUUCGAUUCCGGAGAGGGAGCCUGAGAAACGGCUACCACAUCCAAGGAAGGCAGCAGGCGCGCAAAUUACCCACUCCCGGCACGGGGAGGUAGUGACGAAAAAUAACGAUACGAGACUCAUAUGAGGCCUCGUAAUCGGAAUGAGUACACUUUAAAUACUUUAACGAGGAACAAUUGGAGGGCAAGUCUGGUGCCAUCAGCCGCGGUAAUUCCAGCUCCAAUAGCGUAUACUAAAAUUGUUGCGGUUAAAAAGCUCGUAGUUGCACCUGUGCGCCGCGCUGUCGGUGCACCGCAUCCGCGGUGACCACUGGCACGUCGCGGGGCAUCACGUCGGUGAG